UCUGGAGGGAAGCUGGGGAGGCUUUGGCGGCUUAGGAGAACAUUUAACUUUGAUUUAACUGGACAAAAAGUUGGACUAUCAGUUUGAGACCCUAGUGGAUGACAAGGGGAACUUCCUUACAGUCAGGAAUUUCAGCGGAAAUCUUUCCUUGAGCUUUUAAAACCGUUCAAACAUGGCAGAAGAAGUUGAGGAAUUUGAAGAGAGUUAUGAGGAGGAGGAGGAAUUUGUGGAAGAGUAUGUUGAGCAGACUACCACAACGACUGUCUCUGAGGGUGCUCAGACGUCACAGUCUGGCUUGCAAGUCAGGAAGGUCAGGAAGAAGGUCAAGGUGGACACUUCCAAGUUCAUGACUCCAUACCUGGCUCACAGCCAGAAGAUGCUGGAUCAGUAC